rnacentral:rRNA from 1 species
GAGUUUGAUCUUGGCUCAGAUUGAACGCUGGCGGCAUGCCUUACACAUGCAAGUCGAACGGCAGCAUGAUCUAGCUUGCUAGAUUGAUGGCGAGUGGCGAACGGGUGAGUAAUACAUCGGAACGUGCCCUGUAGUGGGGGAUAACUAGUCGAAAGAUUAGCUAAUACCGCAUACGACCUGAGGGUGAAAGUGGGGGACCGCAAGGCCUCAUGCUAUAGGAGCGGCCGAUGUCUGAUUAGCUAGUUGGUGGGUAAAGGCCCACCAAGGCGACGAUCAGUAGCUGGUCUGAGAGGACGAUCAGCCACACUGGGACUGAGACACGGCCCAGACUCCUACGGGAGGCAGCAGUGGGAAAUUUUGGACAAUGGGCGAAAGCCUGAUCCAGCAAUGCCGCGUGUGUGAAGAAGGCCUCGG